GGCGUGCCUAAUACUGCAAGUCGAACGAGUUCUCGUUGAUGAUCGGCGCUUGCACCGAGAUUCAACAUGGAACGAGUGGCGGACGGGUGAGUAACACGUGGGUAACCUGCCCUUAAGUGGGGGAUAACAUUUGGAAACAGAUGCUAAUACCGCAUAGAUCCAAGAACCGCAUGGUUCUUGGCUGAAAGAUGGCGUAAGCCAUCGCUUUGGAUGGACCCGCGGCGUAUUAGCUAGUUGGUGAGGUAAUGGCUCACCAAGGCGAUGAUAGGUAGCCGAACUGAGAGGUUGAUCGGCCACAUUGGGACUGAGACACGGCCCAAACUCCUACGGGAGGCAGCAGUAGGGAAUCUUCCACAAUGGACGCAAGUCUGAUGGAGCAACGCCGCGUGAGUGAAGAAGGCUUUCGGGUCGUAAAACUCUGUUGUUGGAGAAGAAUGGUCGGCAGAGUAACUGU
rnacentral:rRNA from 1 species